GACAGAGGGUGCAAACGUUGUUCGGAAUUACUGGGCGUAAAGCGCGUGUAGGCAGCUCGGAAAGUCGGAUGUGAAAGCCCUGGGCUCAACCUAGGAAGUGCAUUCGAAACUUCCGAGCUGGAGUGCUGGAGAGGAAGGCGGAAUUCUCGGUGUAGAGGUGAAAUUCGUAGAUAUCGAGAGGAACACCGGUGGCGAAGGCGGCCUUCUGGACAGUAACUGACGCUGAGACGCGAAAGCGUGGGGAGCAAACAGG
rnacentral:rRNA from 1 species